AAAGUACUCCCUUCGUCCCAAAAUUCUUGUCUUAGAUUUGUCUAGAUACGGAUGUAUCAAGUCACAUUUUAGUAUUAGAUACAUCUGUAUCUAGACAAAUCUAAGACAAGAAAUUUGGGACAGAGGGAGUAGUUG
rnacentral:pre_miRNA from 1 species